UACGUAGGGGGCGAGCGUUAUCCGGAAUUAUUGGGCGUAAAGAGUACGUAGGUGGCUUUGUAAUCGCAAGGUGAAAGACCGCAGCUUAACUGCGGUGAGCCUUGUGAACUGCAAGACUUGAGUGCAGGAGGGGAAAGUGGAAUUCCUAGUGUAGCGGUGAAAUGCGUAGAUAUUAGGAGGAACACCGGUGGCGAAGGCGACUUUCUGGACUGUAACUGACACUGAGGUACGAAAGCGUGGGGAGCAAACA
rnacentral:rRNA from 1 species